rnacentral:rRNA from 1 species
AUAAUCUACCCAGUAAUCCGGGAUAACAUCUCGAAAGAGAUGCUAAUACCUGAUAAGCCCACGAUCUCUUCGGAGAACGAGGGAAAAGGUGGGGACCUUCGGGCCUGCCGUUGCUGGAUGAGUCCGCGGCCCAUUAGCUAGUUGGUAGGGUAAUGGCCUACCAAGGCUACGAUGGGUAGCUGGCCUGAGAGGAUGAUCAGCCACACUGGAACUGAGACACGGUCCAG